CAGUCAAUGAUAUCCUGUUAGAGCAGCCUGAACCAAAUGAAACAAAAACCAUGCCUUUUAGUUUGGUUUCUCAUAGAGUCUGUGGGCUCUUGGGAAAGGGGAAGAAAUUAUCUCUAGUCUCCAUGACUGCCAGAUUUUCAAUAACACCUCACAUUCUUCAGGCAUGCAGGAGACUGCCCUUCUUCCUCUUCAUCGCUUAAUAUACUCUGACAAUGACAUUCCAUCACUUCAAGAGCACCUGCUGCUGGUGGCUGCUUCCUCACUGUACCCUUACAUGGUCUUUUCUCCACAUACUCACAGCCCCAAUACCUCUUACUCUUUUCAUACAUCUGUACAAGGCACAGGGCAUGGUGCUUGGCUGGGCACUAACUAAAAGGUAAGUAAUACAUGAUCACACCAUCUGCCUAAACUCUAAGUAUUUAAUGGAGGUUGUAAUGACUGUGCCUGGUAAGCUUCCCAGACAAAUCCAAUGUUUGUUCCAACUCAACUGGCAACACAUACACCCCUGGAAGGGUCAGCCUCCCUGCCACAUGGCUCCAUUCAGACCCCAGUCACAGAGUCAAAGGUAGACACUCACCCAGUACUGAGUCAGUCAAAGCUGUGUCCUGGGGUUUUCUAGGUGCCCCAAAGCCUGUCGCAGCAAACUGGAAUUGGAUACUUGCUCAUGAUACAAAGGAGGCAAAUAUACUAAAAGGUAGAUU
rnacentral:lncRNA from 12 species